rnacentral:rRNA from 1 species
CACCGCGGUUAUACGAGAGGCCCAAGUUGACAGACACCGGCGUAAAGCGUGGUUAAGGAAAACUUAGACUAAAGCCGAACACCUUCAAGGCAGUUAUACGCAUCCGAAGAUACGAAGCCCCACCACGAAAGUGGCUUUAUAACCCCUGACCCCACGAAAGCUAUGAUA